AUUGCAUUUUCGAGCUGCUUCAUGUAACCAGAAUUCCGCGUUUGAGAGUCCUGGUAGCUCUGUCGUCUUCCUGGACGCACAGCAGCAAGUCUGACUUGGAAAGGCGCUGUUUUUCUUCGUGACUGUCGUUUGAGAUCACGGACUGAUGCAGGUUCGCUCCUCUGUACCACGGCAGUGAGAGUGACGGAGCCCUUCCCGGGGGAACCCGGGAGACGCAGCCGGCAAAGGUCACAUUUGUCUCCCUGCAAAGAUGCAAGCCUGAAAACCUUUCUGCUGAUCCCUGGGGCAACAUUCCCUUCAAGUUGAUCACAGUGCAUGGAAAGAACAAGUCCUCUAAGACAAGCUAGUGUGUUAAAGCCACCAAGGUGAUAUGCUGUGCCCAGCUGUGGGCAGAAGGCAGCCUUCCCUGCAUGCCAAGUGAGUGUAGAAGCUGUCUGGCAUUGGCAUGCCUGGCAUUUCACACAUGGUGCCUAACACUAGCACAGCCAAGCCCAGGUUUCCAGGUAUGUUCUUUCUGGGCUUAUUUCUACCAUCAUGUGCCAGAGCAAGUAGUAUCUUAUUCAUCAGUGAAUUUCACCCAGUCUUACUCAGGGAGAUGGAAUUGGUCCUACAACAACAGCAACAAUAGCUUUUUACCUGUGUCUUUUCCAACACUCCCUGUGUGGCCUUCCCACCACAAUAAUAAACAGAAGCUCCCAGAAAGCAGCAGCAAGUUCAGAGAGAGCUGGCUCCUCCCCAGUUUGAUUUUUUUUUUUUUUACCAGGUGGUGUUUGCUUUAAGACCUUGAGCUACAAAAUAUCAUUUCUAGUUCUAGCAUUGAACUCCUGGGAAGACAUAAACCCUUCAAUGCAAUGGACAACUAAACACUUUUAAAUAUAGUUAUCUAAUGGAUAGCAGUACUGACUUUUGUGCAUGCUGCUUCUAACAUGAAUCUACCUAGCCUCUGCUUUCAGAAACCAAAGAUUAAAACGAUUUCAUCUUCUAGACAAGAAGUCCCUAUAUUUGAUAACAGGGGUGGAUUACAAUCUCUCCCACUCUCCCUGCUUUACCCUUCCUUCUGUUCCUGCACUUAAAUCUGGACAUGUGUGGACAUUGAGGAAGAGGUUUUGUGCCUACCAGCAGCUGCAAUGCUUGUGUCACAUCCAACUCCAUAUUGCAAGGUGCUGAGUAACAGCUUAUGAUCCCUAUCAAGUAAUGGCUCCAGGGUUUGUUUACCAACAUCCACUGGAGACUUCAGCUUUUCUGUGGAAACAGAAACUGAGCCCAGGCUUAUCCAGGAAGCCCAAAAGUCCACGUGGACCCAUCCAUAGAGAAGACAGCCACCGCUCAGCCUCCUGUUUUACCUCUUGGACUGCUGCGUCCCUCUGAGACAGACUCCAUUGAGAUCUCUGUGAAAUGAAUGAUGUGACUUACCAGUAUCUUCCAAGCUGUUCCAAGAAUAUCAGCAAGGCACUGGGAUAUGGCAGAGGGACUGGAGACUUUUCUGAGAAGGUUUUACCCAGUGAUGGAAAAUAUAUUUGUGUUAUUACUUUAGCACAAGUGUCUUCUAUAAUGCUAAGGUUUGCUUUCAAAUAAAACAUAAAUUGCACAUCUGGUUGGAAGAAAUAAAUGCAAUAGUGCUUCAAAGACUAUCUGUCAGGCUUAAAAAGCAAAGAGAUGAGGAUUUAUUGGUGUUUUUAUUAUGAACAUAAAAGCCUUGGGAUCUCAAAAUAGACCAAGGUUAUAGGUAAAUAUGGGUUCUAUUUUCUUCUUUGUUCGCCUUAACAUAUUAUUAGCAUCAAGCUAAAAAAGGAUCAUCUGAAUGUUAAUAUGUUUACUGUGUGCACACGGGUGUUAGCUUAAUCAAUACACAGAUGUAGAAGACUGCAGAGAAAAGUAUCCACUACAAGUAUAAUCAUCAUCUUAAACAUUUCAGACAGCAUCUUCAUUCUGGAGAUAUUAUUUGCUUGAGAAACCCCACUCUUGUAAUUUCCCAGUCUUUCAAGACUUUUGUGAAGCAGCAGUGGGCUGCUUCUGUGCAAAGGCUUGGAAUGGACAUCUAUUUGCAAAUGAACAAGCAAUGAAGAAAGUGGGAGUUUCUAAAGUCGAUUACUUAUAAAAUUAAAAUUUGAGGAAGCUUGGGUAAAAAUAACAUGUCCAAAUCAGCAAAUAUUGGGUGGCUUCAAGACAUAUACAUUAAAUUUCCUGCCUGAGCUGCUGGUGACUUCAGCCUCCUUUCCAGGAGAAAAUUAUCCUUUGCAAUGCUGGUUAAAACCUUGCAUGACUCACUCCGAGGUGUUGGAGGGGGCUGUACAAAUCCUGGUCCCCACUUUCUCCUAAAAAUUGUCUGUAAGAGGUUCAAUUUUGCUGUGUCAGGACUGAGUUGAAUCUUUCAUAGGAUUUAAAUUAAAUCCUUGGCAACCACUUUUCUGAUUUUAUAACAAAAUCUGACCUAUGUGUUAAAGUGAGGACAUUGUUUUGCUGGGUUAUUGCUUAAUUACUAAAUGAAGAAAUAUUAAGUACAAAGUUAAUGACUCAUGCAAUAUUUCCAAAUGACAUGUACUAUAAAGCCCCAUUUACAUCUACCACACUGGUGUUUAACUCACUUUCCAUUAUUCCUGAGGCUAUUAAUGUCAGUAAUUACAGCAGGUAACAUGUCUAGU